rnacentral:lncRNA from 1 species
CAACAUCAAAGUAAUAACAUGUCACAAAUAAACACGCAGGCAUGGAAUCACGGCAUAAACUAAUGCAUCAAAUUGACUAACUUAAUCCAACCUAUUGUAACGACAAGAUAUUACCCCCUUAAACAAAACCACCUCAUUGGCGAGCUGACAUGUCAGAAAUAUCUCUGAGAUGAUUCCCCUUCUUGCCACGAAACCACAGCCUCAAACGGUGCGUCGUUCUAAUCUCAAACGACCGAGUUAUGCUCCAUUUACUUCUUUGCAACUUGCUGAAACUUCCAAGGGCGAAUUGACACUUCACUACCCAAUUAUUUCACUUCCAGAUUCAGUCCCCCAACUUCUGGUUACUGUAGAGCAAUCCCUGAACAGUUAACUAUUAGCAGACUAGUCAUCCAACUUUCCAGAAAUACAACUCAGUGCUCAAACUUACAGAAAACGCAGUCAGAUCACUUUCUUUCGGAUACUGCAGAAUGAUCACCGUACUUUCCAGAAUUGAAGUUUGGUUAGUCUUCUUCUCCGGCGAACUGCUCGCCGCCGGUGAACUCAUAUCCAGCUUCUGGCGACUUCCAACAAAGUGGGAAAACACGACUCCCUGUCGCCGAUCACCUUCCGAUCCUUCCUCUAGCUUCAGGCGACGAUCCGCCAUCAACUGCUCGUCACUUCCUCCAGAUUGGAGCUCCAGCAUUGAUCACCCACAGCCCUGCACGCGCCCCCAAGCCAUCUAGAUCCGAAACCACCGUCGUUGCUCUUCAAUUCCCGCUGGUGCUGCAGUUUCCGUCGAUGGUUGCCGUAACCAUCUCCUUCCCCGAUCAUGUAGCUCCGUCCUUAAAAUCAUAGCACGAACACCGGCUUCGUUUGCGCGAUGGGAUUGAUUCAAGAAUCGGCGCCGCCGCUAUGCUUAAUC